rnacentral:rRNA from 1 species
CCAAUAGCGUAUAUUAAAGUUGUUGCAGUUAAAAAGCUCGUAGUUGAAUUUCGGGAUCAGUACGCUGGUCAUGCCUUUGGUAUGCACUGGUGUCACUGGUUUCUCCCUUCUGAAGAACCGUGAUGUCAUUAAUUUGGUGUCGCGGGGAAUCAGGACUGUUACUUUGAAAAAAUUAGAGUGUUUAAAGCAGGCUCACGCCUGAAUACAUUAGCAUGGAAUAAUGAAAUAGGACGUUUGACCCUAUUUUGUUGGUUUCUAGGAUCGACGUAAUGAUUAAUAGGGAUAGUUGGGGGCAUUAGUAUUCAAUUGUCAGAGGUGAAAUUCUUGGAUGUAUUGAAGACUAACUACUGCGAAAGCAUUUGCCAAGGAUGUUUUCAUUAAUCAAGAACGAAAGUUAGGGGAUCGAAGACGAUCAGAUACCGUCGUAGUCUUAACCAUAAACUAUGCCGACUAGGGAUCGGAUGAUGUUAAUUUUAUAAUGACUCAUUCGGCGCCUUACG